GUUGAUGCUUAUAUAUAAUAUAUAUUGUUUAAAAAGAUUGCAGCUUUAUAAUAGUUAGUUGGAAGGGUAUUGGUUAUUUGGAGCAAAAAUAGAGUGGGGAUAUACCAAUUGAUGGCUGAAAUUGGGAAGACUUUGACAGGAUAUGUAGUUGGGGUUAUUGUUUUAGCUUUUGCCCUUUUUGUUUGUGCUGAGGAAAUUGUUGCAAAUGGAGGAACAAAUGAUGACUUUGAAUCAAGCUACUUUUUUAAGAUAUUCAAGAUUUUGCUUCAUAAGGCUAAAUUGCAUUACCAACAUUUUUGGCCUGAAUUGGAAUUUGGGUGGAGAGUGAUCGUUGGUUCUGUGAUUGGAUUCUUUGCUG
rnacentral:misc_RNA from 1 species